CCUCCCUCGACCUCCCUUGUCCGCCACCAGUGCGGCAGCCGCCGCCGAAUCCUAGGUCACCGCACACCGCCGCCGCCGCUGCGAAUCCCUAGGGACGCCGCACGCCGCCGCGAAUCCCCAGGGACGCCGCCGCCGUCGUCGCGGAUCCCCAAGGGCGUGGUCGUGUUGCCCUGAUUGGAGGAGACCGUGCCGGCCUUGCCUUUUUUGGAGGACGAACACAUGUAUUUCGAGGCCCAUGUACGUCAAUCCCGACCUCCGCUUUCCCCCUUUUCCAUCGAGGGCCGUCGCCGCUGCUUCGUCUUCUAUCUCUCUGGAUCCCCAUCGGCACCCUCGCCAUGCCAUCUCAACGUCAGCGGCCCGACGACGCCGACUCCUUAUCGACUCCUGAGGCGUCCGCCUCUCUGCACUCCAUUAUCAGACUCCCCAACUGCCCGCGGGCUGCCUCCCUGCACUUUGACGCCGGCUUUCCACAUCUUCGUGACGCAACCAGAUCACUGCAAAUUUGCGCCAUUCAUGCCAGCAGCCUAAUCAUAUUUUCAGCAUGCGUUUUUCUCUUUUGUGCAGGCCACAAUAUCAAUGGAAGAACAACGCCCAAACAUAACUGAUGUCUCCAUGUUCCAUUGGUUUGUCGGACAGAACAAUUGACAUGGCCAAAUUGCAUGUUUCAUUCUAGAUCGUAGGAGGUUGGACCUUUGGAUUUGGAUGCUAUCAUGCAGAUCGAGAAGGAAGUAGAGUAUAAAAUUUGCGGUGUUCAAGUUGUUACUUUAAGAUGAAAAAUAAAAGAGCAGAAAAGAGGAUGAUGUGUACAGCAGAAAAUAAGAAGAUAUAUGGAGUAUGCUUCAGAUAUAGGAGGACUAGGUGCGUGCAUUGUAAAUGCAUACAUAUUUAAGUGGUGUCCAGGACAAUGAAUACAAAACAAAACGUUGCAAUGCAACGGCGAGUGGCAGCGGACGGCUGGAGGCGGCAGGAGGAGCAGGUAGAUGAAAGCAGGACGACGCUACACCUAGCGCCGUGAACGACUCAUAGGCCGCUUCGGAUGAGAUCAUCAAAUUGGAAGGACAGGAUGAGGAUAUGGACCUCCCGGAGAUCUUCAAUAUGGAAGGACAAUGUCGUUGUUGUUGUAAAAACAUGGUGAUGGUGUUUGAGUUGAAAUAGGCAAGGGCAGUCGACCACGAGAGGAGUUAAAAGAGAACGGACGGAAUCAACCGAGCCUUCUGUCCAUUCAGUCUCCAACUUGACAAGGGAAAGCAAAAGGAAGCCCAUUGAACUGAUGCAACCAUGGUCCAAGUGGCAAGCUAGAAAGCAACACGCUUCGACGGUAUCAUUCCUUAAAUAAGCAUGACAUUUGCUGAAAUGGUAGUUUUUCAUUAACUUUGUAAUCUUUAUUCGUAUGUCAGCAGCUCUCUGACUAUGCUUUAAAUGAAAGCAGUUUACAUCGAUAGGAUAUGAGCAUCAGAGAUUAAGAAGAAAAUGGGCAUGUCAGAAUUAGUUAUAGUUGGUUGCCUUUAAUAUACAUCUUUCAUGUUCCCUCUGUAGAGCGUCCACUCCGUGUCCCCGCUCGUCAUGUAGGUGACCUUGGUGACAUUGCCAUGGUCGCAAAUGGCCACAACGGUGUAGUCAUCAAGCCUUGGGUUCAGCCCGAGCACGAGUCUGUGUGGGUACCAGUUGUUGGGCAGAGGAAGGAGCUCGAUCUCCUCGCCGGUGACAGGAUUUAAGAGACCACAACAUCGACCAUAGGCAAUGCAGGGUAGCUAUAGCAGUUAGAUUGGAUCACGACUGAAACCAAGAACUUUGGGAUGGUGCGAGGAGUGGUAGUCAUAAAGCAAGUAACAAAGGGUAACCAUAGCAGUUAGACUUGAUCACGACUGAAACUACGGACUUUGGGAUGGUGCGAGCAGUGGUGGUCAGCAAGCAAGAAAGAGAAAUGUUUGCCUUUAUUUGCUAUGACUAACAUGAUGUUCUCUCGGGUAUGUAAAGCUCCUUUGUGCAGGUAACAAAGGUAACCCUUCAAAGUAUUGAAGGGACAAAUAAACUGCAGAUUGCUUGUUUGAUUUCAAGUGAGUGAUUCAUGUUCUUGGCAUCAACCAUUGUUUGAGAUCUUUUGUAUUUGUAGGAGCACAUGCUUAAAUAUUAGAUGAUCCCAAGUUAGAUAUACACCGACAUGUGUAUAUAGAGAUGGAAGCAAAUUACUAGCAUUAAUUUUGACGAUGAGGAAGGUAAAACAGAGAUGCGAAUUACUAACAUGGACACUAAGAGUAGGUCUUGGCGUCUUCCUCUCCCUCCGAACUGAUGUGGUUGUGUGGGUGUUGUCAACUGAUGUGCCUAUGCAGAUCAUCGUUGCCUAUGAUAUAUGCCGGUGGAUGGAAAUAGAGGUGUUCAAGCGAGUCAGCGGCAUGUCUGCCAUGCCACAACAGCUCAGCUCCGAACAUAUAAUAGGCGCAGCAAAUAACAUCGCAUAAUUUAGGCAAGCGAAAUAUAGCUGUGAAAUGCCUCCAUGUUGUAUUGCACACCCAUUGCUUAAUACUUUGACAUAAGUAUAAACAUCUACAAGCCUACUGUUCUUCCGCGUGUUAAAUUGAAUAAGAUUAUGAUGGUAUAGUGUUGCUGCUGAUGCGUUGCGCAGCAGACGUUUCCUUUGUCCCUUCAAAGACGCGGAUCAUACAUUAGCAUCCUCAAGUUGCGAUGACUUGACAUAGGCAAGAAAGUUCCACACAUUUUCUCUUCCAUUCACACUUAUACUUUAAGGGGUUUCUUACAGGUUUUAAACCUUGAAGCUUACAUGGUCACUAAUAUGGGCAUGUUGUGUUAAAUCAAUAACCUUGAUUUCAGUCUUUAGGCAUUAUGAAGAAACUUCAACAUUGAAGGUAGUGAAAGGUGAUUUUUUUUUUCGUUUCCUUUGACAUAUAUUUAAGUCCUUUUCCCCCCUCUUCUCUCUCAUUUUCCAUUAAUUCAAAUAUGUUUUAUUACCUGGUGAAUAUUUAUUCUGUUUUAGUGGCUGACUAAUUGGCCCUUCGCUGAUCGAUAUGGUUACCUUUGAAUGGCAUGAAAGAGGAGGAAUAAGGGUUGCUUCCCGUGCUUAAUAAUUGUAUAUAUAAACUGUACAUAUAAAUUGAUCGCUUUAUCUAAUUACAGGGCAGCUGCAUUGCAUAGUAUUCAGUAUAAACAUGUUUUCUUUUAAUUUUUUUUCUAUAUCACUUAAUAAUAGUUUAUGUUGUUAAUUUAGCUUGACACAAGUAUGUGAUUUGAAGUUUCAUUUGAUACAUUGAAGCUUGGGACUUUUGCCGUUUGGGUUCUCAUCUGUUAUUCUAUUGCAUACAUUUAUUCUAUUAUUGUGCAAAUUUUAUAGUGGCAUGCUUUAACCAUGACUAUUGUCUUCAUGCAGACAUGCAGUGCACUUGAAUUGGAUAAUAAUGAUGGUUUUAAUUUUGCCUCAAACAUGCAGAAGAAAUUCAAGAUAGUUUUUUUUUCCGGUGAAUACAUACAUUAUAGCAAGCAUUAGGUUUUUGACCAUGCACGAGCAAUGUAUAGAAGGUAGACAUGGAGGAAUAUUUUAUGGGCAAUUCAAUGUGUAUUGACUGUAACACUAAACUAUACCAUAUAUAUCUUUAUUCAAAUUCUUUUUUGCAUUGCCCAUAUAUGAUCAUGUAUAUAUAAAGCUGAAUGAAGUUUUUAGUUGAGUUGAUUCUUGACAAGCUCAAAUCCAUCACGGGCCUGGGGCUUGUCAGCGACGUGUUCAGGGAU